rnacentral:lncRNA from 1 species
UGGGAACCCAGAGAGAGGAAUGAGGGUGGGAAAGCCUGAGACAAAUGUGGGACAAAUGGCCAGAAUGGUGGGAAGAAAACCAGGAGCUCGGGACAGAGGAGGAGAAUGUUCCAGCAGGAGAGUGCCAAGGGUCUAGGAGCGAGACUGAGGAGGCCAGAGGUGGCAGGGCACAGGAGAUGGGGCCACUGAGGGACAAGUAGAGGACUCCCCCUCUCCCAAGCUUGGAUGCCAGGGCUACAGAGAACGGGCAGCUCAAGCCAGGGUGUCACAGGGAAUCCAAGGUCCCCAUCACUGUUCCUGUGGCUCCGGCCAGGUCUCCAACAGCAGGUCCCAAGGGCUGCCUCUUACAGGUGACAAAUUGGGCUCUGUGUUACCCUCAUGGUCCCAGUCCCUGAUAGCACCAACCGCUGUCCCCAGAGUGGGGGUACCGUGAAGAGAGGCUUUCACUGCUAGAAGACCAGUCUCAGGCCACUGCUCCAGGUUGGUGACAGCAGAGUCAAAUGGGACCCCAGAGUGGCCCGGGCUGCACCCCGAUGCUCAGGGCCCCCACAGGCCCUGUCCUUUGUCUCUGUGUCGAGGGCAUGAUGCUGGCAAUGGGAGAGGCAGGGGUGGGGCGGGGAGGGCCCAGCUGGCAGGUACUGAGCUCUCCGCACCUGCUGGUGUGGUGGCUCAGGUCCUUCUGUGCAUCCCUGCAGGAGGCGACAAGCCCUGAGAGCGCACUCACCAUGCCACUGAGGCACACGGUGACACAAGGAGAUGGCUCUGAGGACUGGUACCCGAUCGCCCGCAGGCAGAAGGAGUUGCCCCGGGGAGGGACUCAGGGACUCAUCACAGUCCCCCGCUGGAGGGACCUAUAUGGGGUCCGGGCUGCGUGCCUGACCCUGAGUGAGGGGCCGCGGCUGAGCCCUUGUCGCCCGAAGCCCGUCCUGCGCAGGCCUCGGGGCGCCCACCUGCUUCCGCACGGGCCUCCCCUCCCUGUCCCUCCCGACUCUGCCCAGGGCUGGCCCCGGAGGGCCGUGCUCACGCGCGCCGCACCUGCGCCCUCUCCUCUGGCGCUGGGUGCUCUGGGUGCACAUCAGUCACCGACGUGGGAAGCAGGUACUGCGGGCUGCCAGCCUAUGGUGAUUUCGCGGCCAAGACGCCUGACUUCGGAGCACCAGCAGGGCGGCCUGGCAGAGAAACGCGGGGUUCGCGCAGCAGGAGGGCCCACACACAGCCCGCUGGAUGCACCUGCGCAGCCUGUUUGGGCCGUUUGGCUCCACGCUGGACCCGGAGCCCCUAAGGCUGAAGGGCGGCUGACAGCACCAGCCUGGCUCUGCGGCUCCCGGGGCCUGCCUGGCAGAUGCACCUGCCAGCAGCUACCACCUGCAAGGCCCCGGGGCCAGAGCAGAGGGGGUCUUGGGGUGAGCAUCUGCGGACGCUGGAAGGGGCAAAGGACAAGGCAGGUAUGCCCGGCGGCUGGCAGCAGGCCCCCCGGGGGCUCACACAUCGUGCCUCGAAAGUGCAGCCAAGCUCAGGGGGCCCUGGGAGGUCACGAGGUCCUCCCCUCUCCCCAGCUCUACAGGUGAGGAAACUGAGGCACCAGAGACCAAGCUGCCCCUCUCCUGUGGUUUCCAGGAGAACUCAGGGGAAUUCGGCCCAGCUGCAGGCAGGAGCCGGGCCUCCCUUGGCUGCCCCCUCAUCCAUGGCGCUGCUGGCAUCCCGGCUCCGCGCCUCCCUCCGGAUGCCGUCUGGGCCUGGCGUCGCCUCGCUCUGGGCUCCCUGAGCAGAGACGCCGGAGGCCUGCCAGCAGCUGGCCCACAGCAGCCCGCAGCCUCAUGCUGCUUCUCUAUCCCGCGCCCCACGUGGGGGGCCAAGUCAGCUACCACUGACCUGGGAGCCCCCUGCGCCCCCUCCCUGCCUCCUCC